rnacentral:lncRNA from 1 species
GUUUCUGCCAGCCACAUGCCGCACAUGCGGCCAUUGCCGGCUCACGUAGGUUCGUUCGCGUGGUCUUGUUACGCCUCGCUGGAUCGUGUUCAGUCAUGCCGUCCUUGCGCGGCGUGAUUGUCGGUGAGUCAGGUUAAAUUCUUAAAUAGGUCGCGCCUGCGCCUAAUUGAGUCUAUAAAAGCCUGCACAUUCAGUUUUGCUAGCUACAAUGCAGUGCGGCUGGCGUGAGCUGUCUCCACGAUGCGCUUCGAGCGUGUCGAUUUCGCCGUUCUUUAUGUUGGCGUUAACGACCUUGAAAGCAACAUGGAUCCACAAGAAAUGUGCGACAACAUCAAGGCCUUGAUUGUUCAACGAGACGGCCCCCGUCGUGCUGGUUUUCAAGGUGCUCCCUCGCUGCCUAGAAGAUGCUGAUGCGGAAUAGAAAAUGCAAAAACGUCGCUUGCUCAACCGCAAAUUGACGGCUACGCUGAAGCGCAUGCCGUGUCUGCGGAAUUUGAACCCCGAGCUUUCCAGAGUUCCUUGGAAAAUCCUCCCAUGCACCUGCCAUGUACAUUGCCCUCCUCCUCGAUGUGGCGUGCAAGAUGGCAGCAGCAGCUGUGGGAACAGUUGAAGAGGCGAAGAAAGGUCCACUUUAUAAUAGGUUCUAUGUAAAUAAAACUGAUCGACCUCAA